CUCGAACGACAGGGGUGCCCGCGGAGUAGCAGCGGGCUGAGAUCACACCCUUUGAACCUGAUCCGGUUCGGACCGGCGAAGGGAGCUCCGUAUGACCUGCCUC
rnacentral:ncRNA from 2 species